rnacentral:rRNA from 1 species
UACCAGCACCCCGAGUGGUCGGGACGAUUAUUGGGCCUAAAGCAUCCGUAGCCGGUUUUACAAGUCCCCCGUUAAAUCCAACUGCUUAACAGAUGGGCCGCGGAGGAUACUAUAAGACUAGGAGGCAGGAGAGGCAAGCGGUACUCAGUGGGUAGGGGUAAAAUCCGUUGAUCCAUUGAAGACCACCAGUGGCGAAGGCGGCUUGCCAGAAUGCGCUCGACGGUGAGGGAUGAAAGCUGGGAGAGCAAACCGG